rnacentral:rRNA from 3 species
GUGGGGAAUCUUGCACAAUGGAGGAAACUCUGAUGCAGCGAUGCCGCGUGAGUGAAGAAGGCCUUUGGGUUGUAAAGCUCUUUUGUAGGGGAAGAUAAUGACUGUACCCUAAGAAUAAGGUCCGGCUAACUUCGUGCCAGCAGCCGCGGUAAUACGAAGGGACCUAGCGUAGUUCGGAAUUACUGGGCGUAAAGCGCGCGUAGGCCGUUGAGUUAGUUAAUUGUGAAAUCCCAAAGCUUAACUUUGGAACUGCAAUUAAAACUGCUCGACUAGAGUUUGAUAGAGGAAAGCGGAAUACAUAGUGUAGAGGUGAAAUUCGUAGAUAUUAUGUAGAACACCAGUUGCGAAGGCGGCUUUCUGGAUCAACACUGACGCUGAGGCGCGAAAGUAUGGGUAGCAAAGAGGAUUAGAUACCC